AGCAAAGGAAUCAAUACAGCACG
rnacentral:miRNA from 1 species